rnacentral:rRNA from 1 species
GCUAUAAUUGUCAGCUAAGUGGCGCACGGGUGAGUAAUGUAUAGAUAACCUGCCCUUAAGAAAGGAAUAACAGUUGGAAACGACUGCUAAUGCCCUAUAUGCCUUUAAUACAUAAGUAUGCAAGGGAAACGCUUUAGUGCUUAAGGAUGGGUCUGUAUGGUAUCAGCUUGUUGGUGAGGUAAUGGCUCACCAAGGCUAUGACGCCUAACUGGUUUGAGAGGAUGAUCAGUCACACUGGAACUGAGACACGGUCCAGACUCCUACGGGAGGCAGCAGUGGGGAAUAUUGCACAAUGGACGAAGGUCUGAUGCAGCAACGCCGCGUGGAGGAUGACACAUUUCGGUGCGUAAACUCCUUUUAUAUAGGAAGAUAAUGACGGUACUAUAUGAAUAAGCACCGGCUAACUCCGUGCCAGCAGCCGCGGUAAUACGGAGGGUGCAAGCGUUACUCGGAAUCACUGGGCGUAAAGAGCGUGUAGGCGGGUAUAUAAGUCAGAAGUGAAAUCCAAUAGCUCAACUAUUGAACUGCUUUUGAAACUGUAUACCUAGAAUGUGGGAGAGGUAGAUGGAAUUUCUGGUGUAGGGGUAAAAUCCGUAGAGAUCAGAAGGAAUACCGAUUGCGAAGGCGAUCUACUGGAACAUUAUUGACGCUGAGACGCGAAAGCGUGGGGAGCAAACAGGAUUAGAUACCCUGGUAGUCCACGCCCUAAACGAUGUACACUAGUUGUUGUGAGGCUCGACCUUGCAGUAAUGCAGUUAACACAUUAAGUGUACCGCCUGGGGAGUACGGUCGCAAGAUUAA